rnacentral:rRNA from 1 species
AGCUCAGGACGAACGCUGGCGGCGUGCCUAAUACAUGCAAGUCGAACGCUUUUUCUUUCACCGGAGCUUGCUCCACCGAAAGAAAAAGAGUGGCGAACGGGUGAGUAACACGUGGGUAACCUGCCCAUCAGAAGGGGAUAACACUUGGAAACAGGUGCUAAUACCGUAUAACACUAUCUUCCGCAUGGAAGAAAGUUGAAAGGCGCUUUUGCGUCACUGAUGGAUGGACCCGCGGUGCAUUAGCUAGUUGGUGAGGUAACGGCUCACCAAGGCAACGAUGCAUAGCCGACCUGAGAGGGUGAUCGGCCACACUGGGACUGAGACACGGCCCAGACUCCUACGGGAGGCAGCAGUAGGGAAUCUUCGGCAAUGGACGAAAGUCUGACCGAGCAACGCCGCGUGAGUGAAGAAGGUUUUCGGAUCGUAAAACUCUGUUGUUAGAGAAGAACAAGGAUGAGAGUAAAAUGUUCAUCCCUUGACGGUAUCUAACCAGAAAGCCACGGCUAACUACGUGCCAGCAGCCGCGGUAAUACGUAGGUGGCAAGCGUUGUCCGGAUUUAUUGGGCGUAAAGCGAGCGCAGGCGGUUUCUUAAGUCUGAUGUGAAAGCCCCCGGCUCAACCGGGGAGGGUCAUUGGAAACUGGGAGACUUGAGUGCAGAAGAGGAGAGUGGAAUUCCAUGUGUAGCGGUGAAAUGCGUAGAUAUAUGGAGGAACACCAGUGGCGAAGGCGGCUCUCUGGUCUGUAACUGACGCUGAGGCUCGAAAGCGUGGGGAGCGAACAGGAUUAGAUACCCUGGUAGUCCACGCCGUAAACGAUGAGUGCUAAGUGUUGGAGGGUUUCCGCCCUUCAGUGCUGCAGCAAACGCAUUAA